rnacentral:rRNA from 1 species
CACAUGCAAGUCGAACGAGAAGGCGUAGCAAUACGCUUGUACAGUGGCGAACGGGUGAGGAACACGUGGGUAACCUACCCUCGAGUGGGGAAUAACCAGCCGAAAGGCUGGCUAAUGCCGCGUACGCUUCCAUCUCUUCGGGGGUGGAAGGAAAGCCGUGCCAUGGGUACGGCGCUCAAGGAUGGGCUCACGUCCUAUCAGCUUGUUGGUAGGGUAACGGCCUACCAAGGCUCCGACGGGUAGCUGGUCUGAGAGGACGAUCAGCCACACUGGCACUGCGACACGGGCCAGACUCCUACGGGAGGCAGCAGUGAGGAAUAUUGCGCAAUGGGCGAAAGCCUGACGCAGCGACGCCGCGUGGGGGAUGAAGGUCUUCGGAUUGUAAACCCCUUUCGGGAGGGAAGAUGGAACGGGCAACCGUUCGGACGGUACCUCCAGAAGCAGCCACGGCUAACUUCGUGCCAGCAGCCGCGGUAAUACGAAGGUGGCAAGCGUUGUUCGGAUUUACUGGGCGUACAGGGAGCGUAGGCGGUUUGGUAAGCCCUCCGGGAAAUCUUCGGGCUUAACCCGGAAAGGUCGGAGGGGACUGCCAGGCUAGAGGGCGGGAGAGGAGCGCGGAAUUCCCGGUGUAGCGGUGAAAUGCGUAGAGAUCGGGAGGAAGGCCGGUGGCGAAGGCGGCGCUCUGGAACGUUUCUGACGCUGAGGCUCGAAAGCGUGGGGAGCAAACAGGAUUAGAUACCCUGGUAGUCCACGCCCUAAACGAUGGACACUAAGUGUCGGCGGGUUACCGCCGGUGCCGCAGCUAACGCAUUAAGUGUCCCGCCUGGGGAGUACGGCCGCAAGGUUGA